GAUGAACGCUGGCGGCGUGCCUAAUACAUGCAAGUCGAGCGAACAGACGAGGAGCUUGCUCCUCUGACGUUAGCGGCGGACGGGUGAGUAACACGUGGAUAACCUACCUAUAAGACUGGGAUAACUUCGGGAAACCGGAGCUAAUACCGGAUAAUAUAUUGAACCGCAUGGUUCAAUAGUGAAAGACGGUUUUGCUGUCACUUAUAGAUGGAUCCGCGCCGCAUUAGCUAGUUGGUAAGGUAACGGCUUACCAAGGCAGCGAUGCGUAGCCGACCUGAGAGGGUGAUCGGCCACACUGGACCUGAGACACGGUCCAGACUCCUACGGGAGGCAGCAGUAGGGAAUCUUCCGCAAUGGGCGAAAGCCUGACGGAGCAACGCCGCGUGAGUGAUGAAGGUCUUCGGAUCGUAAAACUCUGUUAUUAGGGAAGAACAAAUGUGUAAGUAACUAUGCACGUCUUGACGGUACCUAAUCAGAAAGCCACGGCUAACUACGU
rnacentral:rRNA from 1 species